CCUACGGGGUGCUGCAGUGGGGAAUAUUGGACAAUGGGCGAAAGCCUGAUCCAGCCAUGCCGCGUGUGUGAAGAAGGCCUUCGGGUUGAAAAGCACUUUCAGUGGGGAAGAAAGCCUUGGGGCUAAUACCCUCGAGGAAGGACAUCACCCACAGAAGAAGCACCGGCUAACUCCGUGCCAGCAGCCGCGGUAAUACGGAGGGUGCGAGCGUUAAUCGGAAUUACUGGGCGUAAAGCGCGCGUAGGCGGUCUGAUAAGCCGGUUGUGAAAGCCCCGGGCUCAACCUGGGAACGGCAUCCGGAACUGUCAGGCUAGAGUGCAGGAGAGGAAGGUAGAAUUCCCGGUGUAGCGGUGAAAUGCGUAGAGAUCGGGAGGAAUACCAGUGGCGAAGGCGGCCUUCUGGACUGACACUGACGCUGAGGUGCGAAAGCGUGGGUAGCAAACAGGAUUAGAUACCCGGGUAGU
rnacentral:rRNA from 1 species